ACUGGGUGUGGUCACCUGUGCCUGUAGCCCCAGCUACUUGGAAGGCUGAGGUAGGAGGAUCACUUGAGCCCAGGAGUUCUGGGCUGUAGCACUAUGCCAAUUGGGUGUCCGCACUAAGUUUGGCAUCAAUAUGGUGACCUCCUGGGAGCUGGGGACCACCGGGUUGCCUAAGGAGGGGUGAACCGGCCCAGGUCGGAAAUGGAGCAGGUCAAAACUCCCGUGCUGAUAAGUAGUGGGAUCGAACCUGUGUAUAGCCACUGCACUCCAGCCUGGGUAAGAUAGCAAGACCCUGUCUCU
rnacentral:SRP_RNA from 1 species